rnacentral:rRNA from 1 species
GACGAACGCUGGCGGCGUGCUUAACACAUGCAAGUCGAACGGAAAGGCCCUGCUUUUGUGGGGUGCUCGAGUGGCGAACGGGUGAGUAACACGUGAGUAACCUGCCCUUGACUUUGGGAUAACUUCAGGAAACUGGGGCUAAUACCGGAUAGGAUCUCCUGCUGCAUGGUGGGGGUUGGAAAGUUUCGGCGGUUGGGGAUGGACUCGCGGCGUAUCAGCUUGUUGGUGGGGUAGUGGCUUACCAAGGCUUUGACGGGUAGCCGGCCUGAGAGGGUGACCGGCCACAUUGGGACUGAGAUACGGCCCAGAAUGCUACGGGAGGCAGCAGUGGGGAAUAUUGCACAAUGGGCGGAAGCCUGAUGCAGCAACGCCGCGUGCGGGAUGACGGCCUUCGGGUUGUAAACCGCUUUCGCCUGUGACGAAGCGUGAGUGACGGUAAUGGGUAAAGAAGCACCGGCUAACUACGUG